rnacentral:rRNA from 1 species
UAGGGAAUCUUCGGCAAUGGACGAAAGUCUGACCGAGCAACGCCGCGUGAGUGAAGAAGGUUUUCGGAUCGUAAAACUCUGUUGUUAGAGAAGAACAAGGACGUUAGUAACUGAACGUCCCCUGACGGUAUCUAACCAGAAAGCCACGGCUAACUACGUGCCAGCAGCCGCGGUAAUACGUAGGUGGCAAGCGUUGUCCGGAUUUAUUGGGCGUAAAGCGAGCGCAGGCGGUUUCUUAAGUCUGAUGUGAAAGCCCCCGGCUCAACCGGGGAGGGUCAUUGGAAACUGGGAGACUUGAGUGCAGAAGAGGAGGGUGAAAUUCCAUGUGUAGCGGUGAAAUGCGUAGAUAUAUGGAGGAACACCAGUGGCGAAGGCGGCUCUCUGGUCUGUAACUAACGCUGAGGCUCGAAAGCGUGGGGAGCAAACAGG